AUUGAACGCUGGCGGCAGGCCUAACACAUGCAAGUCGAGCGAGCGGCGGACGGGUGAGUAAUGUCUGGGAAACUGCCUGAUGGAGGGGGAUAACUACUGGAAACGGUAGCUAAUACCGCAUACCAUCAGAUGUGCCCAGAUGGGAUUUGCUAGUAGGUGGGGUAACGGCUCACCUAGGCGACGAUCCCUAGCUGGUCUGAGAGGAUGACCAUCGACCAUGGGACUGAGAGACGGUCCAGAAUCCUACGGGAGGCAGCAGUGGGGAAUAUUGCACAAUGGGCGCAAGCCGGAUACAGCCAUGCCGCGUGUAUGAAGAAGGCCUUCGUGUUGUAAAGUACUUUCAGCGGUGAGGCGUUACCCGCAGAAGAAGAGCCGGCUAACUCCGUGCCAGCAGCCGCGGUAAUAC
rnacentral:rRNA from 1 species